UAAUGACCUAACCAGAGAGACCUAGAGAUGGAGACAGAGAGAUGGUACUUUCAUUAAUUAGCUACAGUCCUAUGGUAACACAACACAACACAACAAAGUAGUUUCCUAACACAUGAAAUUACUCGUGAUGAAGCUUUGCUUUUAGGGUUCUUAUCCAAACCAGAACUUCAGAAGCAAAACCAGUAAUUAAUUAGGUGACCAUCACACAGUGUUCUCUCUCCCCCUUAGCCCAACAGGGAAAUUACACACUGAUAUGGUUGUUGCUCUGUCGUCUAC
rnacentral:lncRNA from 1 species